GCUUUUAAAGAUAGUAGCAAUCUAUUGGUCUUAGGCUCCAAAUACCCAUGGUGCAACCCCAUGUAAAAGCU
rnacentral:tRNA from 1 species